GACGAACGCUGGCGGCGUGCCUAAUACAUGCAAGUUGAGCGCUGAAGGUUGGUACUUGUACCAAAUGGAUGAGCAGCGAACGGGUGAGUAACGCGUGGGGAAUCUGCCUUUGAGCGGGGGACAACAUUUGGAAACGAAUGCUAAUACCGCAUAAAAACUUUAAACACAAGUUUUAAGUUUGAAAGAUGCAAUUGCAUCACUCAAAGAUGAUCCCGCGUUGUAUUAGCUAGUUGGUGAGGUAAAGGCUCACCAAGGCGAUGAUACAUAGCCGACCUGAGAGGUUGAUCGGCCACAUUGGGACUGAGACACGGCCCAAACUCCUACGGGAGGCAGCAGUAGGGAAUCUUCGGCAAUGGACGAAAGGCGGACCGAGCAACGCCGCGUGAGUGAAGAAGGUUUUCGGAUCGUAAAACUCUGUUGGUAGAGAAGAACGUUAGGGAGAGUGGAAAGCUCAUCAAGUGACGGUAACUACCCAGAAAGGGACGGCUAACUACGUG
rnacentral:rRNA from 1 species